ACCCCACCGAAGCUGGAUUCGCUAGUAAUCGCGCAUCAGCCAUGGCGCGGUGAAUACGUUCCCGGGCCUUGUACACACCGCCCGUCAAGCCAUGAAAGCCGGGGGCGCCUGAAGUCCGUGACCGCGAGGGUCGGCCUAGGGUGAAACCGGUGAUUGGGGCUAAGUCGUAACAAGGUAGC
rnacentral:rRNA from 1 species